rnacentral:rRNA from 1 species
AGCGAACGCUGGCGGCAGGCCUAACACAUGCAAGUCGAACGGAUCCUUCGGGAUUAGUGGCGGACGGGUGAGUAACACGUGGGAACGUGCCUUUUGGUUCGGAACAACUCAGGGAAACUUGAGCUAAUACCGAAUGUGCCCUUCGGGGGAAAGAUUUAUCGCCAUUAGAGCGGCCCGCGUCUGAUUAGCUUGUUGGUGAGGUAAAGGCUCACCAAGGCUACGAUCAGUAGCUGGUCUGAGAGGAUGAUCAGCCACAUUGGGACUGAGACACGGCCCAAACUCCUACGGGAGGCAGCAGUGGGGAAUCUUGCGCAAUGGGCGAAAGCCUGACGCAGCCAUGCCGCGUGAAUGAUGAAGGUCUUAGGAUUGUAAAAUUCUUUCACCGGGGACGAUAAUGACGGUACCCGGAGAAGAAGCCCCGGCUAACUUCGUGCCAGCAGCCG